rnacentral:lncRNA from 1 species
AGCGGGUUAACAGAAGAUGGAUGGACGGAUGGAAACACCCUCUAAACGAUUCCUUUUUUUGUCCAAACGGAAGCCUUCACACAGAAAACAAGAAGAGAAGCGUGAGAUGAAAGAGUGCAAAGAAAGAGAGAAGCGCGAAAAGAAAGAGCGGCAAGAACAAGAGAAGCACGAGAAGAAAGAGCGCCAAGAACGAGAGAAGCGCGAGAAGAAAGAGCGGCAAGAACGGGAGAAGCGCGAGAAGAAAGAGCGCCAAGAACGAGAGAAGCGCGAGAAGAAAGAGCGCCAAGAACGAGAGAAGCGCGAGAAGAAAGAGCGCCAAGAACGGGAGAAGAGCGAGAAGAAAGAGCGCCAAGAACGGGAGAAGCUCGAGAAGAAAGAGCGCCAAGAACGGGAGAAGCGCGAGAAGAAAGAGCGCCAAGAACGAGAGAAGCGCGAAAAGCAAGGACAAACGGUGAAGCAGUUUAGUGUGGAAUCAGACGGCUUGAUCACUGGACUGGAAAAGGCCAACGGGAGCGCCCUCACAAAAGAAAAUGAAAACCUCAGAAAGGCUGCCGAAGAACAUGCCCAGUGUUCUUCCAUGUGUGAGGAGCUGGCCAACGAGGUCUGCACUCUGAUGAGUGACCUACAGAAGGCCAACAACACCGUCCAGGAAAAAGACGGUAUGAUAAACCAACUGUCAGAGGACAGGUCCUCCUUACAAGAUCAGCUGAAAUGUGAGCAGGAAUCAAGAGAAUGCAUUAAGAAAUGCCUUGAUGAGCUCGAGAAACAAAACAGCGAAAUUCAGUCAGAGGUGGUUUGUAAGGAGUGUGUCAUCACUGACCUGCUUGAUGAAAAGGAUUAUGUCUGCAAAGAACUGGCCAAGAGCAAGGCCAAGGUCGAACAGGAAUCACAAGAACCACCAAAGAAAGAGUGUGUCGCAGAGACACCAGAAAAGAGCAAGGCCAAGGUCACACAGGAAUCACAAGAACCACCAAAGAAAGAGUGUGUCGCAGAGACACCAGAAAAGAGCAAGGCCAAGGUCACACAUUCGGAGGACAGUGAGCUGGACAGCCUCUUUGAAAGGAUCAAUGCAGACAUCUGGUACUACCAUGAUGAAGAGGAGUACCGGAACAGCUGGUACUACAAGGUCUGCCAGGCCGACCGGGAAAGUUCAAAAUACCAGGGCAGCCAGGACUACAAGGAGAGUGUAGACCUCCAGGACAGCCGGGACUACAAGGAGAGUGUAGACCACCAGGAACAAAACAGCCUGGGCAACCCGAAGAUUAGGGAUAGCUGUGGAAAGGAG